GUUCUGAUCUGAAUGAGGGAAAUGGAUCUGCUCAGCCUUCUAGUCAUUCCUGCAACAUGUUACCCAUUUGGACUGGGUCUACAGGAAGGACAGAUACACCCUUCAAUCCUGGCUACUGGCUCGACAGAGGAGAAACUGCUUUGCUUAUAGAAGAAAUUACCAUCACAUGGAACAAAGGAAAAUUUCUUCAGGGCAGACUAACUGAAGGGAAUAGCUUCUAUCCUUAGAAUCCACUGUGGACCAAAAGGCUAAAGCUGCAAAGCAAAGAGCCCCCUUAUGUGAGAUGCCUGAGUCUAAAAGAGAAGACUUUUUUCAGAGAAGACUGGGGUGCUGGGCAUAUUACAGAAUUGGAACCUAAGAUGUCCGUGAUAACAGGUCAUAUUUAUAUUACAAGCAUCUCAAAUAUGCAAAUCAACCUGAUAUAACAAGGACUACGAAUACGCUAUUGCUUCCUCCUUUUAAAAAUUGUUAGGGUGAAGCUUGAUUUCUUAAAAUCACUAAGGACUUUCAGUAAUUUCUUCAAUAUUAACCUCAUGUAAGGAACAACAGAUUGCCUUUCUAUUUCAG
rnacentral:lncRNA from 1 species